rnacentral:rRNA from 1 species
AGAUUAAGUUAUUAAGGGCGCACGGUGGAUGCCUUGGCACUAGAAGCCGAUGAAGGACGUUACUAACGACGAUAUGCUUUGGGGAGCUGUAAGUAAGCUUUGAUCCAGAGAUUUCCGAAUGGGGAAACCCAGCAUGAGUUAUGUCAUGUUAUCGAUAUGUGAAUACAUAGCAUAUCAGAAGGCACACCCGGAGAACUGAAACAUCUUAGUACCCGGAGGAAGAGAAAGAAAAUUCGAUUCCCUUAGUAGCGGCGAGCGAAACGGGAAGAGCCCAAACCAACAAGCUUGCUUGUUGGGGUUGUAGGACACUCUAUACGGAGUUACAAAGGACGACAUUAGACGAAUCAUCUGGAAAGAUGAAUCAAAGAAGGUAAUAAUCCUGUAGUCGAAAAUGUUGUCUCUCUUGAGUGGAUCCUGAGUACGACGGAGCACGUGAAAUUCCGUCGGAAUCUGGGAGGACCAUCUCCUAAGGCUAAAUACUCUCUAGUGACCGAUAGUGAACCAGUACCGUGAGGGAAAGGUGAAAAGCACCCCGGAAGGGGAGUGAAAUAGAACCUGAAACCGUGUGCUUACAAGUAGUCAGAGCCCGUUAAUGGGUGAUGGCGUGCCUUUUGUAGAAUGAACCGGCGAGUUACGAUUUGAUGCAAGGUUAAGCAGUAAAUGUGGAGCCGUAGCGAAAGCGAGUCUGAAUAGGGCGUUUAGUAUUUGGUCGUAGACCCGAAACCAGGUGAUCUACCCUUGGUCAGGUUGAAGUUCAGGUAACACUGAAUGGAGGACCGAACCGACUUACGUUGAAAAGUGAGCGGAUGAACUGAGGGUAGCGGAGAAAUUCCAAUCGAACCUGGAGAUAGCUGGUUCUCUCCGAAAUAGCUUUAGGGCUAGCCUCAAGUGAUGAUUAUUGGAGGUAGAGCACUGUUUGGACGAGGGGCCCCUCUCGGGUUACCGAAUUCAGACAAACUCCGAAUGCCAAUUAAUUUAACUUGGGAGUCAGAACAUGGGUGAUAAGGUCCGUGUUCGAAAGGGAAACAGCCCAGACCACCAGCUAAGGUCCCAAAAUAUAUGUUAAGUGGAAAAGGAUGUGGCGUUGCCCAGACAACUAGGAUGUUGGCUUAGAAGCAGCCAUCAUUUAAAGAGUGCGUAAUAGCUCACUAGUCGAGUGACACUGCGCCGAAAAUGUACCGGGGCUAAACAUAUUACCGAAGCUGUGGAUUGUCCUUUGGACAAUGGUAGGAGAGCGUUCUAAGGGCGUUGAAGCAUGAUCGUAAGGACAUGUGGAGCGCUUAGAAGUGAGAAUGCCGGUGUGAGUAGCGAAAGACGGGUGAGAAUCCCGUCCACCGAUUGACUAAGGUUUCCAGAGGAAGGCUCGUCCGCUCUGGGUUAGUCGGGUCCUAAGCUGAGGCCGACAGGCGUAGGCGAUGGAUAACAGGUUGAUAUUCCUGUACCACCUAUAAUCGUUUUAAUCGAUGGGGGGACGCAGUAGGAUAGGCGAAGCGUGCGAUUGGAUUGCACGUCUAAGCAGUAAGGCUGAGUAUUAGGCAAAUCCGGUACUCGUUAAGGCUGAGCUGUGAUGGGGAGAAGACAUUGAGUCUUCGAGUCGUUGAUUUCACACUGCCGAGAAAAGCCUCUAGAUAGAAAAUAGGUGCCCGUACCGCAAACCGACACAGGUAGUCAAGAUGAGAAUUCUAAGGUGAGCGAGCGAACUCUCGUUAAGGAACUCGGCAAAAUGACCCCGUAACUUCGGGAGAAGGGGUGCUCUUUAGGGUUAACGCCCAGAAGAGCCGCAGUGAAUAGGCCCAAGCGACUGUUUAUCAAAAACACAGGUCUCUGCUAAACCGUAAGGUGAUGUAUAGGGGCUGACGCCUGCCCGGUGCUGGAAGGUUAAGAGGAGUGGUUAGCUUCUGCGAAGCUACGAAUCGAAGCCCCAGUAAACGGCGGCCGUAACUAUAACGGUCCUAAGGUAGCGAAAUUCCUUGUCGGGUAAGUUCCGACCCGCACGAAAGGCGUAACGAUUUGGGCACUGUCUCAACGAGAGACUCGGUGAAAUCAUAGUACCUGUGAAGAUGCAGGUUACCCGCGACAGGACGGAAAGACCCCGUGGAGCUUUACUGUAGCCUGAUAUUGAAAUUCGGCACAGCUUGUACAGGAUAGGUAGGAGCCUUUGAAACGUGAGCGCUAGCUUACGUGGAGGCGCUGGUGGGAUACUACCCUAGCUGUGUUGGCUUUCUAACCCGCACCACUUAUCGUGGUGGGAGACAGUGUCA